CAGCUUUUGGAAUGAAGAGUACACGCGUUUAGAGUUUCAGAGUCCUCGAUGGCAAGACAGAGGCAUGAGCGGAGAGCCGAGGCUCACCUCUUAGACCCUGAGCAUGAAACGAAGAACACACUAGGAAUGCGUGAGGCUUGGAAAACUCCAACCCCAUCCCCUGAAACAUUCAGAUCAAGCAGUCAUGCAUCUGGCCCUGUGGAGGCCAUUCUUUGCUCAGACCUCCACAGGUCUGAGGUUUUCUUUUGUUUUUAGACCUUUAUUAACAGGCAGUUGCAGUGUGUUGAUGCUUUUUGGGAAGAAAAUUCAAGCCGUAAAGUUUUAUUAUAAACCAAAAAUGAAGCUCUUAAGAAUCUCAACUUGAGCAGAUAUGAAGCGAUUUAAAAACUCCUGAAAGAAAAAAAAAGCAGGCUUUAAAAAAUAACACAUUUGUCAUUUCCAAAAAGAGACAUCUUUAGGCAAUAUAACAACAACGACGACGACGACGAUGACAACAAUAACAACAACAACCAAAAAACAAAAAAACAAAAAAAACAACCCAUACUGCAUAGGUAACUCAUAGAGCCCUUUUGUAUCUGGACAAUGGGCAAAAAUCAAGUUCCCAAGGCUUCCGCUUCAGUCUCCAUUCAUUUCUUAUUUCUGGAGGAAACCCUUAUUCAUUUCUCCUGGUGGCGUGACCAAGGCGGACUGGUAGAGAUGGUAAACCGACAUUUACUCAGCCUUGGGAGGACACUCUUAGCUGCCGGAUUGGCUGCUUUUGUCUCUUUGCUAUCUUAUGAUUCAGGGAUCUUGGGGUUUCUUCGUCAGUAACCAAAUCGUCACCGACGCUGAGGUGACUUCGACCUUGGGUCUCUUCUCCUUGAUUUUCAGCGUCCUCUUCGGUUGCUGUCCUCUCUAGGCUGUCUUUGGCAAGGAAGAACCCUGCAAAAAUCAUGAAGUAGCAGAUAAGCCCAUUUGAGUUCCUGGCAGAUCCAUGAAGCCCUUCAGCCACUGGAGCCCCUGAGGACAGCCUUACAGAGGGACCAGCACUCACAGAGCAGCACCCUCCUAACGGCCGGCCGACCUAGAGGAGGAGGCCCAUGUAGAAGACAAUGACAAGGAAGUUUCUAGCCAAGCACCCCAGUGGGGGAUAUGCAAGGCUUUUGGAAACUAAGUGCAGAGAAUGUCUCCAAAACGACCAGAGACAGGAUCGUAUACCCCUUUUUCUACUGAAGCGUGCUAUCAUAACGGCUAAUUCUCAAGUGCGUGCCCAGCCACUCUUGUGGGCAGCUAUUCGAAAGCCCCUCCAUUUUAUUUUCUCCCUGUUAGUUGCGACUCCCUGUUGCCUGUCAUGUACAGUGACAUUCCAACAAUGGGAGAGAACCAGUCCCCUGUCAACUCUACCCUGGUACUUCCAUUUCUUAAGUCACUCAACCUGGCCCCAGGGCAUGCUGGGAGUUUGUCUAACAGAAAAUGUAUGCCCAGAGGACUUCGUCCUACUGGCUCAGGAGGUUCCUGGGAACUUCUCCAAUUGGGUCGAGGCUCAUCGAGUAGGGGGUGGCCAGUAUGCUUUGCCUCCACCACUCUCCAAAGGGGAACCCCAACGGACACUUAUCAACAGGUUUAUGUCAGGGAUAAAUGGGACCUUUCCCAUCCUUUGAAAUGUCAAGGCUCAACAGUUGCACACCAAGGCGCUCCACUUGGAAGUCCUUAGCCUUGAAAUAAAAACAGAAGGGGGACCUGUGAGGAUGUGGAAGUCAACCUUGUGGAGGAAAAUUGGGAUGGAGAACGAGGUACCACAGGUUCCUGCAACUCCUCAAAGAGUCCAGAUCUGCCACACACAGUAUUAUAUCUAAAAUGGCUCCCAGUGCAGCGGCGAAAGAGCAAAAAGGAACUGAGGCCCCGGGCCAAUUCCUCCAUCGUCCUGGAAGUCCACACAGGUGGUAAUAAUCUCUCCUACUCAUUCUGAGUACCUCAUUAGGCAGGCUUUCAUUGAAGCAUGGUGACAGUGUGAGCAGGAUAUGAUUGGACGAGGAUUUAGAGGCUUGGGAUUGGCUCAAACUAUAAGCUUUUGGGCGGGGCAAUAAACUCUGCUGGUCUCUGGAGCCGGUUUCCCGGGACUCGACAUGCUA